rnacentral:lncRNA from 1 species
CUCCUACCGCCUUUACGCACUUCCUUAACUCUGCAGGUGAUACCUUUCCAUCUCCAUUCUCAUCAAAGUACGUAAAUACCCUCUCUACCUCUCCCUUGUUACUACUACCACUAUUGUCACUCACAGGAAUACAGUUAGUAGUAGUAGUAGCAGCAGCUGCUGCUCUCGUUAUUGUUGUUGUUGUUUUCGUUGUUGUUAUCUUCUUCUUAUCUUCAUUCCUUCUGAAAUGAAACAUAUUCCGUAAUCUCGAGAAAAAAGACUCUUUUUCAGCUAUGGAAACAGAAACUGAUGAUACCAUACACAUAAGUUUGAAAUGUAAGUAGAAAAGGGUUGAAUUUGAAAUUCAACAAAGAAAAUUUGGGAAAUUAUAAGUUUUUGGAUGUAUAGUACUCUUUAAUACUCAACAAAUUAAGGAUAUGGGAAUGAAGGAAAAAGAAUGGGAUAUUUAUAGUUUGGGAAAUCAAUAAUGAGUGGGGAUAUAGUAUUAAUUCCGUGGGCUUACCAAGUAUUGAAACAACUUGUAUGACCAUUUGUUUCUAGUUGAAAAAAAUAUUACUCCCUCCGUCCCAUUUUAUAUGAUGUACUUUGAUUUGGCACAAACUUUAAGAAAAAUGGAAAGACUUUUAAAACUUGUGGUCCAAAAUGAAUGAUAGAAAUUUGUGUGGUGGUAAAUCAUUUCAUUAAGGGUAAAAAAGACAUUUUAUAGGCAAAUUGUUACUUAAAAUAGAAAUGUGUCAUUCUUUUUGGGACUGACUAAAAAGGAAAGUAAGUCAUAUAAAUUGGGACAGAGGGAGUAGUAAAAAACAAAAACAGGUAUUUAGAAGUUUGAAAAGUAAACAGUCAAAUGAACUAUGGAUUGGUUUAUAGGAUAAAGUCUUAUCUUGAAGACUACGUGUUUUGGGGGCAGACUAGUGGCAUCUUAUAUUAUAUUGUCAUUACAGAUGUCAUGCCAAAUAGACGCGGUGUUAAAAUUAGUCCAUAAAAUUAUAAUCCGUCUAAUUAGUGUAUGUUUGAAUUAGUUAAUAACUCACUUAUUUUAUUAAUUGGGCUCAUUUUGACACACCUUCAGUUCACCCAUUUUUAAGUUACAGUUGAUAUGCGAUCGCGAUUGACUCAUGAGAAUUUUUUUAAAAAUAUUUUAACUAAAACAAAUUAUUAAAAAAAAAACUUUGAAUCUAAAACUCAGUAUAGGAACUAGGUGGGUCCAACCUGCUUUAGCUCAGAUAGUAUUUAAGUGGGUUAAUGGCGGACUGGGAAUCUAAAUAAGCCACAAAAACAUAAAAGUGACCAAAAUAAGCCACUACUUUAGGAAGUAACUAAAAUAGGCUUAGUGGAAGAAAAAAUUCCACUUCAUCUAAUAUUCUAAACGUUUUCCGUUAGUCUCAUAACGUGUAUAUUUUAAUAUAUAACGGAAUUAUUUUCUACACUUUAUAAAAUGGAACUAUUUCUUACACUUUAUAAAGUGGUAACUUUUUCUUACACUUUAUAAAGUGAAACUUUUUCUUACACUUUAUAAAGUGGAGCUUUUUAUUACACUUUUUAUAAAAUAAGAAAAAGUUCCACUUUACAAAGUGUAACAAAAACUUACGCUUUACAAAGUGUAAGAAAUAGUUUCGUUUUACGAUGUGUAAAAAAUAGUUUCGUUAUAUAUUAAAAUACACAUGUUAUGAGACUAACGGAAAACGUUUGAUAUAGAUAAUUCACUCUCCAAAAUUUACUUGUCCUUGUGAUAAAAAUGAAGUAGGGUAUUUUACGACUAUAAUCAAAUUAUAAACAGUACUGUUUAUACCCAUUCUUUUAUAAAUUGAUGAAAUUUUUUUGUGAUAUCGAACAUUAAUUUAAUAUUUUGCAUUGUAUUUGGGAUGACACUUAUAAUAAACGGUAUUUCCGUCAUGUAUAAUUUCGCCAUCCCAAUAAAUCAAAACUCUAACUUUUGGUUUAGAAGACAUUUUUUUUUUUGAGAUCAAAAUGAACAAAUAUAGAAAGUAUGUUGUAGGUGCUACCAAGUUAAUGUUUUGAACGUUCCUCCUUAAAUAGAGAUUGGAGGAUUUUUCAGAAUAAAAAAAUAAAAAUACAUAGUGUAAUAAUUUUUCCAUUUUUAUGAUAUGUCAAAUCAAUAUAAUUGUAUGACAAACACUGCAAAAGAGAUAAAAACGUGAAAAUAUUUCUCUUUGUAAAGUGGAAUUUUCUCUUCCACUUUGUAAAGUGUAAAAAAUAGUUCCAUUUUAUAAAGUGUAGAAAAUAAUUCCGUUAUAUAUUAAAAUAUACACGUUAUGAGACUAACGGAAAACGUUUAGAAUAUUAGAUAAAGUGGAAUUUUUUCUUCCACUAAGCCUAUUUUAGUUACUUCCUAAAGUAGUGGCUUAUUUUGGUCUAUUUUUUAUGUUUUUGUGGCUUAUUUAGGUUCCCAGUCCGUUAAUGACCUGUUCAUUUAUUAGUUCAACUCAUUUUAACAUCCUUAAAUUCAGCUUAACCUGUUCAUUUGACCGCCCUAAUAUAUACACUACUUACCUUUUAUGGCAUAUAUAUCCAAAAUAGUGUCCUUUCUUUCAUCUAUAAUGUAAGUUCUCUUUGAGUUUCUACUUCUACUUUUAGUAAGACUACACUUGGCUUGAAUUUGUUUGUUUUUCUUGUUGGGCAAGGAUAGCUAGGACACUGGAAGAGUGUAAAACUAUUCCAAAUUUAAUAGUGAGGUGGUAAAUUUGAUGUAAAUAAGGGGAAAUUAAAGAUAUUUGAGUAAGAUAGGUCAAUAUAAUAUCAAGAAAGAAUGCGUAACGAUAGUAAUUAAACACCUCGUUCGAUGAAUAAUUUAAUAAACAAAGAAGUAAUACGUGCUCCAAUUCAUAAAAUAUGGAGGGAGUAACUUUACAAAUAUGAAAUGAAAAAAUCUCAAUGAAUUAUUUGAUCUCAAGAAUCAUAUUUACACAAAUAUUUCUCUCUAAACUCUUCUUAACUUGUCAUCAUAAUUUUAAACUCAUCAAAGCUAAGAACUCCAUCUCCAUUGAUAUCAAAUCUCCUUAUCAUAACCUUGCAUUUAUCAAUGGAGGUUGACUCGCCGAGUCGACUCAACAUCAUCUUCAAGCUCUUAGGAGUAAUGUAUCCUUCCAUUUCAUACAUUCCAAAUGCUCCCAUCAACUCACUCUCUUUAUUCCUCUCUUCCUCCAUUCCUUCCAUUAACUUCGUAAAAUCCUCCAACCCUAACAACCCGUCCCCAUCAGAAUCCGAUAGCCUCACAGCCAUCUCCGCCUCCUCCAUCGUCAGUUCACCUCCUACCGCCUUCAUGCAUCUCCUUAGCUCCGGUGGUGACACAUUUCCAUCUCCGUUCUCAUCAAAGUACGUAAAUACCCUCUCUAACUCUCCCUUGUUACUACUACUAACACAUGAGUUAGUAGUAGUAGCAGUUGUUAUUGUUGUUGUUGUUGUCGUUGUCUUCUUCUCCUCUUCCUUCUUUUUGAGAUGAAAUAUAUUCCGUAAUCUUGAGAAAAAAGAUUCCUUUUCAGCUGUGGAAACAGUUACUGAUGCUAUACACAUACUAGCAAACAAAUAUACGUUUGAACUGCUUUUUCUUGUAUUCAAGAAAGUUUGAAUAUGAGUAAGUGAGAAAAGGGUUGAACUUGAAAUUAACAAAGAAAACCACGUAAAGAGACAAGAAAUCAAGGAUAUGGGAAUGAAGGGAGAAGAAUGGUCUAUUUAUAGUUUGUGGGGUUGAAGAAAAAGGGAUAGUUAAUUCAGUGGGCUUACCAUUUGUUUUGUAGGUAGAAAACAAGAAGUUUGAAAAGUAAACAGGCAACAGGCUAUAAAAUAUAAUAUAAAGUUUUUAUAACAUUUAAAUAUGAUUAAAGACUACGUGUUUGGUGUGUGUAUCUCUUUGGGGAUUGAAAUCUUAUAUUAUAUUCAAAUAUUGUCAUGCCAAAUUGACGUAUAUCCUUACCUCUUAUGACAUAUCCAAAAUAGUGUCCUUUCUUUCCUCUUUCUCUUUUUUGAGUUUAAUUUCUAAUAUCCCCUUAGGUGGGUUUGUCGAUUUUUUUUUUUUGAAAAAUAAGUGAUUUUUAUCUAUUUUUUUUUAUGUUUGGUGAGUAAGGAGAAAAUAUUAUUUUAAGAGCAUUUAAGUAGAAUAUAAGCAAAUAAUAUGGCCAAGACCUAGACUUGAACCCAACAUGGAACUCGACCCCGACCUGGAAUCGAGACCUCACAUCCGGCCCAACCCUAACCUCAACUUGAAAACCAUACCCCUAGCUCCGAUCUCAAUCCCCAACAUGGUACCAAACCCAAUCUUUGAUCCACGAUUUUGGACAUGAUCGUCGACACGACUUAGAAUCGAGCAUUGGUUUGACUCUAACUCGAACCCUAACUCGAGACUCGACCCUGGACUAUUAAUCAAUCCUUGGUCCGAGACCCAAUAGGACCUUGACUCGAGACUCGACUCUUCGGUUGCGACUUGUGAAUCAGUACCUAGCUAGUAUCGACCACGACUAUAAACUCAAACCUUGUCCUGGCCUCAACUCGAGACUCAAACCCCCCGACCCCUAUCCUUCACAUUGAAUCAAUACCUGAUCCCCGACUUUGACGCUGACCCAGAACUCAACCAUAGCUUGUGACUCGAUCCGUUAAUCGAGACAUGGAUCUUGACCCCAACUCGACCCUGACUAGGUUUCUAACCCAUAUUCCGAUCCGUGAUCUAACCUCAACACGAGACCCUAUAAACUAUACCCCCUUUAGUCCACAUUAAGUGAAUUGUUGGAGCAUACACACCCUUAAGAAAAUACAUAUAAGGACAAAAAUUAAAGGCUACUUUCCACUAUUUACCCUUUUGAUUAUUUCAAACUAUUCUCCUAGAAAAUGUAAAUUAGUUAAGAAACUCAUUAGAAGGAAGGGUAAAUAUGAAAAAAUAAUCCCAACAAUUCUCUUGAACUUUGAAAAUUCACUUAUUUUGAAUUAUAUAAAAAAAAAAAAGUAUCAACAAUUCACUUAAUAUGGACCAGACUAGGGGAGUCCUUUUCAAUCAUACGCUAUGAAAGAACAAUAGAAACAAACUCAAUUUCCACUGUUGAAGUAACACUUCUCCAAGUUAGUAAACCAAGGAAUUGAUUACAAAUUUGAAUCUAUGAAUGUAUAAAUCUCAACCAAAAACCAUUUACAUAAUUACCAGAAACAUUUGAGCUCAAGAAUCAAGAAGAAAUAAAAUAACAAUAACAAGCCCAAGGCCAAAGAAUUAUGUACACAAAUAUCUCUUCUAAGUUGUCAUCAUAACUUUGAACUCAUCAAAGCUAAGAACUCCAUCUCCAUUGAUAUCAAAUCUCCUUAUCAUAACCUUGCAUUUAUCAAUGGAGGUUGACUCGCCGAGUCGACUCAACAUCAUCUUCAAGCUCUUAGGAGUAAUGUAUCCUUCCAUUUCAUACAUUCCAAAUGCUCCCAUCAACUCACUCUCUUUAUUCCUCUCUUCCUCCAUUCCUUCCAUUAACUUCGUAAAAUCCUCCAACCCUAACAACCCAUCCCCAUCUGAAUCCGAUAGCCUCACCGCCAUCUCAGCCUCCUCCACCGUCA